rnacentral:ncRNA from 1 species
ACUUCAUCCAGAGGGGUAGAGGGUCCGGCCCUACGAAACCCCGGCAACCGGCGUCGCCUGCCAACCGCGCUCUGCGGGCUGUCGACGAUCACGGUGCCAAUUCCGGCCCGCGACAGCGGGAAAGAUGAGGA